AAAUUAUGCUCCAUUGGCCUUUUGUGUUUUCUACCCACAUUUACCUCCGUGACGGUGAGAUAUCGUGAUGUCUUUACUGGACUAGUGUAGCUCAUUCCUUAUUUAAUCAUUUCAGAUCAAGAGGACAUCGUUCCCGAGCCAGUUUCGCAGGAGGACGACGAAGGGGACGCCUAAAGACUCCAUAGUUACAUUCGUAGCUUUUACUUUCAAGUUUCUUCUUUAUGUAGUUUGAUCUUUUAUAUUUUGUGAGCACGUUUUUGGUUUUAGUGUAAGGGAUGUUAUUCAAAUUUUGACUUCGCUUCCGCAUUUGAUAUUUUUAAUAUACAUUUCAUUAUGAAUUUCUGGGGAUG
rnacentral:lncRNA from 1 species